GGGGGCGAAUUGGAUUCGACCGGAUAGGUUGAAGUGUGCGUGGCGUGUCGUGGUUGGUCAGUUGGCCACGUUAAAAGCUGACUAAAAUUUAUUUGCCGAGAGCAAUCUCAGCUUGGCUGCCUAGAGAUAGGCCAGUCCCGACUGCGGCCCUUCGCCGGAGAGAGCCAAAAGUCGGUUGCCAAUUCCGGACCGCCGAAGGUCAUCGACCAGUAUCCCUUCGGUUAAACCAGUUCUGAGUCUGGCAAGGCGAAACCGCGUCGGUUCGGGUUCGCCGCGCGACAACAAAUAGUCGACUACACACGUAGAAGCGCCCACGGAAAUGUCUCGGGACGCGGGUUCGAUCCCCGCCGCCUCCACUU
rnacentral:tmRNA from 1 species